rnacentral:rRNA from 1 species
GACGAACGCUGGCGGCGUGCUUAACACAUGCAAGUCGAGCGGUAAGGCCCUUUCGGGGGUACACGAGCGGCGAACGGGUGAGUAACACGUGGGUGACCUGCCCUCAGCUCUGGGAUAAGCCCGGGAAACUGGGUCUAAUACCGGAUAUGACUUCAUGACGCAUGUUGUGGAGUGGAAAGCCUUGUGCGGCUGAGGAUGGGCCCGCGGCCUAUCAGCUUGUUGGUGGGGUGAUGGCCUACCAAGGCGACGACGGGUAGCCGGCCUGAGAGGGCGACCGGCCACACUGGGACUGAGACACGGCCCAGACUCCUACGGGAGGCAGCAGUGGGGAAUCUUGCGCAAUGGGCGAAAGCCUGACGCAGCGACGCCGCGUGAGGGAU